rnacentral:misc_RNA from 1 species
CAGGCCGAUACGUUAAUGCGCAAUCUGGCGCAGCAGAAGCCGAAUGACCCGGAGCAGGUUUACGCUUACGGGCUGUAUCUCUCUGGUCAUGACCAGGACAGAGCGGCGCUGGCGCAUAUCAACAGCCUGCCGCGUGCGCAGUGGAACAGCAAUAUUCAGGAGCUGGUUAAUCGACUGCAAAGCGAUCAGGUGCUGGAAACCGCUAACCGCCUGCGAGAAAGCGGCAAAGAGGCAGAAGCGGAAGCGAUGCUGCGCCAGCAACCACCUUCCACGCGUAUUGACCUCACGCUGGCUGACUGGGCGCAACAACGACGUGAUUACACCGCCGCCCGCGCU